AUUGAACGCUGGCGGCAGGCCUAACACAUGCAAGUCGAGCGGAUGAAGGGAGCUUGCUCCUGGAUUCAGCGGCGGACGGGUGAGUAAUGCCUAGGAAUCUGCCUGGUAGUGGGGGAUAACGUCCGGAAACGGGCGCUAAUACCGCAUACGUCCUGAGGGAGAAAGUGGGGGAUCUUCGGACCUCACGCUAUCAGAUGAGCCUAGGUCGGAUUAGCUAGUUGGUGGGGUAAAGGCCUACCAAGGCGACGAUCCGUAACUGGUCUGAGAGAUGAUCAGUCACACUGGAACUGAGACACGGUCCAGACUCCUACGGGAGGCAGCAGUGGGGAAUAUUGGACAAUGGGCGAAAGCCUGAUCCAGCCAUGCCGCGUGUGUGAAGAAGGUCUUCGGAUUGUAAAGCACUUUAAGUUGGGAGGAAGGGCAGUAAGUUAAUACCUUGCUGUUUUGACGUUACCAACAGAAUAAGCACCGGCUAACUUCGUG
rnacentral:rRNA from 1 species